rnacentral:rRNA from 1 species
UUAAGUAGAAAAGAGCGCACGGAGGAUGCCUUGGCACUAGGAGCCGAAGAAGGACGUGACAAACGACGAAACGCUACGGGGAGCUGUAAGUAAGCAAAGAUCCGUAGAUAUCCGAAUGGGGGAACCCACCGCUUUUAAAAGGGCGGUACGCGAAAGCGAGGUAACGCAGGGAACUGAAACAUCUAAGUACCUGUAGGAAGAGAAAGAAAAAUCGAUUUCCUAAGUAGCGGCGAGCGAAAGGGAAAGAGCCCAAACCAAUAUGCUUGCAUAUUGGGGUUGUAGGACUCUCAAUAAAACGUAUGACAAAGUAUAGUAGAACGAGCUGGAAAGUUAGACCGUAGAAGGUAAAAGUCCUGUAUACGAAAUGCUGAGUUGGCGUGAGAGAGCACCUGAGUACGGCGGAACACGAGGAAUUCCGUCGGAAUCUACCAGGACCAUCUGGUAAGGCUAAAUACUACCUAGUGACCGAUAGUGAACCAGUACCGUGAGGGAAAGGUGAAAAGAACCCCGGGAGGGGAGUGAAAGAGAACCUGAAACCGUGUGCUUACAAGUAGUCAGAGCCCUUUAGGGGGUGAUGGCGUGCCUUUUGUAGAAUGAACCGGCGAGUUACUUUAUCAUGCGAGGUUAAGUGGAAGACAUGGAGCCGAAGCGAAAGCGAGUCUUAAUAGGGCGAAAUAGUAUGAUGGAGUAGACCCGAAACCAAGUGAUCUACCCAUGGCCAGGUUGAAGUUUAGGUAACACUGAAUGGAGGACCGAACCAGGACACGUUGAAAAGUGUUUGGAUGAGCUGUGGGUAGCGGAGAAAUUCCAAUCGAACUUGGAAAUAGCUGGUUCUCUCCGAAAUAGCUUUAGGGCUAGCCUCGUUGUGAGUUUACUGGAGGUAGAGCACUGUUUGGACUAGGGGCCCAUCCCGGGUUACCGAAUUCAGACAAACUCCGAAUGCCAGAUAAAUAUCAACGGGAGUCAGACUGCGGGUGAUAAGGUUCGUAGUCGAAAGGGAAACAGCCCAGACCGCCAGCUAAGGUCCCAAAUUGUAUGUUAAGUGGAAAAGGAUGUGAUGAUGCACAGACAACCAGGAUGUUGGCUUAGAAGCAGCCACCAUUUAAAGAGUGCGUAAUAGCUCACUGGUCGAGUGACAUCGCGCCGAAAAUGUACCGGGGCUAAACAUACAACCGAAGCUGCGGAUAUAACUAAUGUUAUAUGGUAGGAGAGCGUUCUAACAUCAUAGAAGCCGAACUGGAAGGUGAGGUGGAGAGGUUAGAAGUGAGAAUGCCGGUGUGAGUAGCGAAAGAUAGGUGAGAAUCCUAUCCACCGAAAGACUAAGGUUUCCAGAGGAAGGCUCGUCCGCUCUGGGUAAGUCGGGACCUAAGGUGAAGCCGAUAGGUGAAGCCGAUGGACAACAGGUAGAAAUUCCUGUACCACCGAAUAUCGAUUGAGAGAAGUGGGGACAGAGGAGGCUAAUUGAUCGCCCUGAUGGAAUAGGGCGUCUAAGCACAAAGACUGACAAGUAGGCAAAUCCGCUUGUUGUAAAGGUUGAAGUGUGAUGGGGAGCGAAAUAUAGUAGCGAAGUCAAUGAAGCCAAACUCUCAAGAAAAGCCGCUAUCGAGAUAAGAGGUGCCCGUACCGCAAACCGACACAGGUAGUUGGGAAGAGAAUUCUAAGGUGAGCGAGAGAACCAUCGUUAAGGAACUCGGCAAAAUGACCCCGUAACUUCGGGAGAAGGGGUGCCUACGAGAGUAGGCCGCAGUGAAUAGGCCCAAGCGACUGUUUAUCAAAAACACAGGUCUCUGCAAAACCGAAAGGUGAAGUAUAGGGGCUGACGCCUGCCCGGUGCUGGAAGGUUAAGAGGAGUGCUUAGCGCAAGCGAAGGUAUGAAUUGAAGCCCCAGUAAACGGCGGCCGUAACUAUAACGGUCCUAAGGUAGCGAAAUUCCUUGUCGGGU